rnacentral:rRNA from 1 species
CACGUAGGGGGCAAGCGUUGUCCGGAUUUAUUGGGCGUAAAGAGCUCGUAGGUGGUUCGGUAAGUCGGGUGUUAAACCCCCAGGCUCAACCUGGGGACGCCACUCGAUACUGCUGUGACUAGAGUCCGGUAGGGGAGCGUGGAAUUCCUGGUGUAGCGGUGAAAUGCGCAGAUAUCAGGAGGAACACCCGUGGUGCAGACGGCUUGCUGGACCGUGACUGACGCUGAGGCACGAAAGCGUGGGUAGCAAACAGG